UGUAGGAUGUUGAAACUGGCAGACAUGCCCUCCUGUCUCGGGGGUGGGGAAUCCGGAAUAAAGCGAACAUGGAGCUCGUGUUCUUUCCUAACUGCCCCGUGGAGGUUCGAAUCCUUCUCCUACAG
rnacentral:tRNA from 1 species